CGGGAGUAACGCGUGAGGAACCUGCCUCAAAGAGGGGGACAACAGUUGGAAACGACUGCUAAUACCGCAUAAGCCCACAGCUCGGCAUCGAGCAGAGGGAAAAGGAGUGAUCCGCUUUGAGAUGGCCUCGCGUCCGAUUAGCUAGUUGGUGAGGUAAUGGCCCACCAAGGCGACGAUCGGUAGCCGGACUGAGAGGUUGAACGGCCACAUUGGGACUGAGACACGGCCCAG
rnacentral:rRNA from 1 species